ACUGGGCGUAAAGGGUACGUAGGCGGCUAGUCAAGUCUGAGGUUAAAGACCACAGCUUAACUGUGGAAAGGCCUUGGAAACUGACUGGCUAGAGUGGGGCAGGGGUUGCGGGAAUCCCGGUGUAGCGGUGAAAUGCGUAGAUAUCGGGAAGAACACCUGAGGCGAAAGCGCGCAGCUGGGCCCUAACUGACGCUGAGGUACGAAAGCUAGGGGAGCGAAUGGGAUUAGAUACCCCAGUAGUCCUAGCCGUAAACGAUGGACACUAGACGUUGGCCGACCAACCCGGUCAGUGUCGUAGCUAACGCGUUAAGUGUCCCGCCUGGGGGGUACGCACGCAAGUGUGAAACUCAAAGGAAUUGACGGGGGCCCGCACAAGCGGUGGAGCAUGUGGAUUAAUUCGAUACAAACCGAAGAACCUUACCUGGGCUUGACAUCCACGAGAAACGCUUAGAAAUAGGCGCCUCGGGAAACUGACCCGUGGACACCGGUUGCAUGGCUGUCGUCAGCUCGUGCCGUGAGGUGUUGGGUUAAGUCCCGCAACGAGCGCAACCCCUGUCCUCUGUUGCCAGCGGGUCAUGCCGGGCACUCUGAGGAGACUGCCGUGGUCAACACGGAGGAAGGUGGGGACGACGUCAAGUCAGCAUGGCGGUUACGUCCAGGGCGUCACACAUGCUACAAUGGGUGGUACAAAGGGCAGCCAACGCGCGAGCGGGAGCGAAUCCCAAAAAACCACCCUCAGUUGGGAUCGCAGUCUGCAACUCGACUGCGUGAACGCGGAAUCGCUAGUAACGGCGGGUCAGCCAUA
rnacentral:rRNA from 1 species